UACGUAGGUCCCAAGCGUUAUCCGGAAUUACUGGGCGUAAAGCGUCUGUAGGUGGAUAAAUAAGUUUUGUAUGAAAGACCGAAGCUCAACUUCGUGUUUGUGCAAAAAACUGUUUGUCUAGAAUUAGGGAGAGGUAAGCAGAAUUAUGUGAGUAGAGGUGCAAUUCGUAGAUACACAUAAGAAUACCAAAAGCGAAGGCAGCUUACUGGAACUAUAUUGACACUGAGAGACGAAAGCGUGGGGAGCGAAAAGG
rnacentral:rRNA from 1 species